GUGGGGGUAGAGCAAGGUGUGGCUUUGGUUCUCAUGUGUGAAGCAACAUACUGUAAUAAUGGGGCUUUAAGGGUUUUAUUUGAAACUCCAGUGAAAUGCUCCAUUUAGCGAAAGGAGAAUUACAUUUGCAGAAGAUCACUGCUCAUUGCUCUGUGAGUGAGCUCAUCUGGUUCCUAAAUGUCUUUUGUGGAGCAGCAAUCUGUUUCCACUUAAGCACAGGAAGGUUGUGCAACCCACUGAAGUACAGCCAGGAGUCCACUCCUAAAGGGAAAGUCAAAGGUGACACCUGAAGUGCAUUUGUGAGGUCAGACACUGAUGUUGGAUGAGAAGGCCCAGCUCACAGUCACCUAAUUCAUCUGGAAGGUGUUCUAUCAGGUUGAGGGUCACGGGGGUUUCUGGAGUCUGUCCCAGCUGUCAUUGGGUGAGAGGCGGGGUACACUCGCAUUCACACGCACACCUAGGCCGCCUGUUUGGUAAAACCUAGCAUAUGAAUUGUCAAUACAGUUCCUCCUUAUUACACACAGGAGUCAUGGAGCAAACAUAUCCCUUCUUUGUCACAUCUUAACGGUAGUUUCCUGCCUGAGCUUCCGGACUCUUUCUGCUAUGUUUGACUUCAGCAGCAGCUACGCAGUAAGACGAGUCAACCUCCCAAGCGCUGACCGUGUGGACCUCUGCAUUGAUAAGACCUUGACCCCAAGCUGCACGAAUGCUUAAAUGUUGUCCAUUUUCAAUAUUGUUCAAUUUGCAAUAUUCAACUGAGCAAAAGAGAAAUACAUGCAACUUAAAAAUGAAAAUAAAUGAAAAUUGAUCAUACAGACAAUGCCU